rnacentral:rRNA from 1 species
CCGGAAUUGCUAGUAAUGGCAGGUCAGCAUACUGCCGUGAAUACGUUCCCGGGCCUUGUACACACCGCCCGUCACACCAUGAGAGUUGGGAAUACCCGAAGCCUGUGAGCCAACCGUAAGGGGGCAGCAGUCGAAGGUAGAAUCAAUGAUUGGGGUGAAGUCGUAACAAGGUAAC